rnacentral:rRNA from 1 species
CCUACGGGUGGCAGCAGUGGGGGAUAUUGCACAAUGGCGGGAACGCUGAUGCAGCGACGCCGCGUGGGUGAAGAAGCGCCUCGGCGUGUUAAGCCCCGUCAGUAGGGAAGAAAAGGCCGGCACGUGUAGAAGUAGCCGCGGCUAACUACGUGCCGCCCGCCGCGGGAACACGGAGGGGGCAGGCGUUAUCCGGAAUUUCUGGGUGUAAAGGGGGCGCAGAGGGCGAUACAAGUGAGGAGGGAAAGUCCGGGAUCCAACCCCCGGCCUGCCCUUGAAACUGCGUGGCUGGAGUGGAGGAGGGGCAGGCGGAAUUCGUGGGGUAGCGGUGAAAUGCAUAGAUAUCAGGAAGAACCCCGGUGGCGAAGGCAGCCUACUGGAGUGCGACUGACGUUGAAGCACGAAAGCGUGGGGAGCGAACAGGAUUAGAUACCCGGGUAGUC